AAGAGAGGGACAGGUAGUAGUAAGAAGUACAAUGACCUAGAGAUCCUGGCAAAAUAGUGGGUCAACAAUCUAGACCAGUGAGUCAGGGGUAAAGGCAUAGACAAAAGCUACUUGUUGCUAGGAGGCAAUGGGUCAGAAAUCUAGAUGGAAAACAGUACAAGGCUGUACAAACAAAGGAACCAAAGGUAAACAUGAAACAGAAGUUUCCAGCCCCACCAGGAGCUCUUAUUCACCUCCUGCUGACUCGGGAAGCUGUUCCACCAUCCAUCACGCAAGGAAAAGUUUAGAAGAGAAAGCAUGAUUUACAUUGGAUCCGUUGACAUCAUCAUGUGAUGGAGAGGCCUUUGGAGUCAGCCAGACUCAUCUCAACUCUGCCACUUACUCAUUGUAUGAAACGCGGAAAAGUUCAGUAAAACCACCAAGUAAGUGGUGGAGCUGGGACUCAGUCCAGGCACCCAGACAACCUGGUUCCAGAGUUGGGCUCUACAUUUUACUGCCAAUGCAGUUCAUGGAAAUAACAAAGAUGUGACCUGGAGAAAUACCCAUGACUGUAGCUUUGUGCUUUCACACCCAACCAGGCUACCUCCACAAAUCAGUCUGGCCAGUGCUCACUACUCCAGGCCCCAGAGUCAGAUUUUGUCAUAGUUGCUUAUUGUCAAUUUCCUCCUUCUCUUAAGGAGACUGCAAACCCCUUCUCAGGCCAGUGUCUAUUCAGGGUGGUUUUUGCUCACCCCAGUUCAGACUCCUAACCGGAGUACAAGGCGUUAGAAAGGGGUGGACCGAGGACAGAGGAAGAAUGGUAGGCUCCACAAACCUAGUGCAGAAAGGUAAGACAUGCGAUCAUUUCUUGCUUUUUUUUUUUUUUUGUGACAGAGUUUUGCUGGAGUGCAAGUGGAGUGCAGGCUGGAGUGUAGUGGCAUGAUCAUAACUCACUGCAGCCUAGACCUCCCAGGCUUAAGCAAUCCUCCUGCCUCAGCCUCCUGAGUAGCUAGGGCUACACAUGUGCACUACCAUACCUGGCUAAUUUUUUUAUUUUUGUAGAAAUGGGAUCUCUCCAUGUUGCCCAGGCUGAUCUCGAACUCCUGGGCUCAAGCGAUUCUCUCGUGUCUGCCUCCCAAAUUGCUGGGAUUACAGACGUGAACCACUGUGCCCAAUUUUCCUGCUUCUUCCUAAUCUCUUUUCCUCCCUCUGAGGAUGAGGAUAAUUCCCAAAGAUGCUAACAAAGCUGUGAAUGUGGAGGAACCAGAAUUUUGCUCUGCGUCUAGGGCAACGUUUUAUUUGGUUGUUAGAAACACCUAAUUAAUAUACACAAUUUUACUUCACGUGCCUGUUGUUUCUUGAAAGGCGAGGGGUUCCUCUUUGAGUAUCAUGCAAUCCCAUCUUUAUCAAAUGUUAUUUGAGAAAACUGCCACUGAAAAAUCAAUAAAACAGUUAUUGGAAAAGAAUCAUCCCGAUGAGUGUCCAUUAAGUCUCUAGCAAAGAUUGAUUUCAAAUAAAGGAC
rnacentral:lncRNA from 10 species